GCUUUGGUCUCGCGCAAUGGGGCCCCAUGAAUCCCGUCAGGUCCGGAAGGAAGCAGCGGUAAGUGGUCAGUCACAUGUGCCGCGAGGGUGCCUGAGGGCU
rfam:Schwartzia succinivorans DSM 10502 genome assembly, contig: EJ98DRAFT_scaffold00001.1